AAUCUUCACAAUGUGCGAAAGCACGAUGAGGGAAUCCCAAGUGCUAGCACGUAAGUGUUAGCUGUUUCUUAGUCUAAAAAACUCAGAGAGUAAGGGCUGGGUAAGACGGGUGCCAGCCGCCGCGGUAAUACCUGCAGCUCAAGUGGUGGCCGCUAUUAUUGGGCCUAAAACGUCCGUAGCCUGUUUAGUAAAUGCUUGGGUAAAUUGUGUAGCUUAACUAUACGAACACCGGGUAGACUGCUAAACUUGGGACCGGGAGAGGCUAGAGGUACUCCUAGGGUAGAGGUGAAAUUCUGUAAUCCUAGGGGGACCACCAGUGGCGAAGGCGUCUAGCUAGAACGGGUCUGACGGUGAGGGACGAAGCCCUGGGGCGCGAACCGGAUUAGAUACCCGGGUAGUCCAGGGUGUAAACGCUGCUUGCUUGAUGUUAGUUGGGCUCCGAGCCCAACUAGUGUCGGAGAGAAGUUGUUAAGCAAGCUGCCUGGAAGUACGUCGCAAGAC
rnacentral:rRNA from 1 species